rnacentral:rRNA from 1 species
UUCCGGAGAGAGAGCCUGAGAAACGGCUACCACAUCUAAGGAAGGCAGCAGGCGCGUAAAUUACCCAAUCCUAAUUCAGGGAGGUAGUGACAAGAAAUAAGAACCUGGGGGAUUUUUAUCCUUACGGGAUUGCAAUGAGAACAAUUUAAAGCACUUAUCGAUGAACAAUUGGAGGGCAAGUCUGGUGCCAGCAGCCGCGGUAAUUCCAGCUCCAAUAACGUAUAUUAAAGUUGUUGCUGUUAAAAAGCUCGUAGUUGAACUUCUAUAUAUGCCCGGUUCUGGCUUCGGUCAAGCCGCUGGUGUGUAUAUUCGCUUGCAAACCUAGUCCGGCCUUCACUGGUCGACUAGGGGAGUAGGCCUUUUACUGUGAAAAAAUUAGAGUGUUUCAAGCAAGCAAUGGCGUGAAUACAUUAGCAUGGAAUAAUGGAAUAGGACUUUUGUCCAUUUGGUUGGUUAUUGGACAUAGGUAAUGAUUAACAGGGACAGUUGGGGGCAUUAGUACUUAAUUGUCAGAGGUGAAAUUCUUGGAUUUAUUAAAGACUAACUUAUGCGAAAGCAUUUGCCA